UUGACACUAAGGACAGAGUGACAUAAUUUCAGGAGUGAGGGUUAGGGAGAGGUUUCCCCCUCCCCCUGGUGUUCUUAGUAAGCCUGGAAGCUAAUCACUAAGAGUAUCACCAGUAUGAUGACGUGCUUCAUCAUGACCCUUUCCUUAUU
rnacentral:sRNA from 3 species